rnacentral:lncRNA from 1 species
UGAAAAAUAGUUGGAAGAAUUGAUAAUUUAAGAAAUUAUUUCAGACUGACCAGUUUUAGAAUAGCAGGGCAUCACACAAACAUGGAAAAGGGAAAUGGGACACAUAAGUAAAGUGAACUACAGACAUACAAACAACAUGUUGGAGGAAAUAAUCAGACAUGAUUGUAAGCCAAGGGUUCAAUUUCUUACUGCAUCAAAUUCUAAUACACUUAGCCUCAAACAGAGAUUUUAGGUUAAACAAGUAGCCAAGAAGACACUCAAAUAAAACAUUUCACUGAGAUAAGGAGGGGAUAAGGGAGCAAAUAAGCAAAGGGAAAAGACAACAUGCUGGGUAAAAGUAAUCAGACAUGGUUAAAAACAAGGGUUUAGCUCUUACUGUACCAAAUCCCAAAUAUAAUCAACCUCAUGAGAGGUUUAAGGACUGUUAAGUAACCAAGCAUCGGUGCAAAUGGAAGUGAAAAACAUGCAUUGAUACAAGGAAAGGGGAAUAGGGAAAACAUUCUAAGUUAAACUAGUAGACUAACAACUACACGCUAGUGGCAAUAAGAGCAAUUGAACCAUAGGUAAAAGCACACAAGAUAUAAUAUGAAUUGCAAAACUAAAAGGAGCAUGUUGUUUUGGAGGCUAUAUAUUAAAUAGGUGACAUACCGGUUGCAUGUAAUAAGACACAAUAGCAAUGCAAUAGUACACAAAGGGAGAGCAAAGUGUGCAAAGAAUGAGCAGCAGUAUGAGUAACAACAGUAGGAGAACAACAACAACAAUAUGAGAAUAGUAGCAGCAACAGACCCAAUGCAGAAAAACCAAUAGAACCAAAUAGUGUAAAGUAGUCAACCACAAGUUACUCAAACUUGGCUGUUAGCCGAUUGAGUGUUCAAAGAAGAGAGAAGAGAAUGAGAGAGUAUAAUAAUAGUAGAGAAAGAGAGAAUUCAGAAAGUUUUAGAUUGUGAGAGCAAUGUGUGUGUCUCAAAGAGAGAAGUGAGGAAUAUUUAUAGUAUUAAAAACGAGUGAACAAAUAAGGUAUCAAUCCAUACAUAAGGAGCUGAUAUCAAUCAUAAUCAAACAAGUAUAGGGACUCCCCUUUAAUUAAGGAAUCAUAGCCAAACGGUAACAAGCAGUCAUUUUUAAAAGGAAAGGAACCACAAGGUAUGGCCUGGCCACAUAAGAAAAUAAAAAUAGCAUAGGGUAUACAUUGCAGACUAGGUGCAUGAUACUUAACCAAGGAAAUAUGUCAAGCAAGUAAAUCAUCAUAUUUAUGCACAUAUGUAAGGAAAAUACCACUUCAAUUCUGGGAAAUAAUUUUUGAAAUUGAAAACUUGGGAGAUCAGUCAUCUAAUUGGGGAAUGUAUCACACUAAUUGAGGAAGAAAAUUUGAAAUCAAUACCAAAAUUGUAAGAAAAAUACACAAAUCACAAAGGAAUGUAUCCCACUGAUUGAGAAAGAAAAUUCGAAAUCAAUACAAAAACUGUAAGGAAAAUACACAAAUCAAUAUUUAAGGCUAGUAAUUGUAGUCUUAAAGAGAGCUUUUAAGAAUCAGUAUAAAAUCACCAUGUAAACAACUAGAAAAAAUUGUAAGAGAAGAACAACAGCAUGGUAUGGGAAUGAAGCAUUAGCAACAAAAAUCAAAGUAAAGGGUCCAGAGCUCAUAGAAGAAACCAGAAGAACAUGCAAAUAGGCAAAUAAAGAUACAAACAUGUAGGGUUAAGCUUUUUAUCAGAUUUUAACAAAAUACUUUGGGAGUAGUACUAAGAGCAACGGAUUAGUGCUAAAAUCGGAAAAGUGAAGUAUUUUCGAAGGGGAUUAAGAAACACUAGAAACACAAAUUACAGUAUGAAACCCAAGUUAACAAGGAAAACAAACAAACAAGUGAAAUAAACAAACACAAAUAGAAAUAUAGCACUCAGAAAGAGUAGAAGGAACAACUUUGAAGAAGGGGUCAGAAACCGUAACUUGAAAGAGUGGUAAUCAUCAAAAAAGAUUUGAAAUAAUCGGAAAAGAUAAGUAGAAAUUGAGUAGAAAAAAAAUCAGACUAAGAGUUAUUUUUAAAAGAGUGGAGAUUAAAUAGAAAAAAUUAGGGUUUUCAAACAGAUUAGGGAAACGAAGAACCUGGCUGUGAAACUCGUAUACAAUGCCAUAGAAAGCAUCAUCGUUCAAAGACCACCGGAGAAAAGCCGGAAGGAGACCCUAAAUAAAGCUUCCGCGUCCGUCUUCCAUGGCAGAAGCUGCUAGGCUUCAAGCUUCAAAGAAGAAACCACGAUAUAGGGACUCCAUGGUUGCUGGAAGUCGAGAGGAGUGAGGGAGGAGUGAGCUGGUAUGGCGAUGAAGGCCAUGAGAGAACCAGAAGGUUCUAGAGAGACGAAGGGUUAGAGAGUGUUUUUGGGAGUGAAAGGGGAUACAGG